rnacentral:rRNA from 1 species
CCUCGGGUGGCAGCAGUGGGGAAGAUUGGACAAGGGGGGGAACCCGGAGCCAGCGACGCCGCGUGAGUGAAGAAGUAUUUCGGUAUGUAAAGCUCUAUCAGCAGGGAAGAAAGAAAUGACGGUACCUGACUAAGAAGCCCCGGCUAACUACGUGCCAGCAGCCGCGGUAAUACGUAGGGGGCAAGCGUUAUCCGGAUUUACUGGGUGUAAAGGGUGCGUAGGCGGAAUGCCAAGUCAGCGGUAAAAUCGCGGGGCUCAACCUCGCUCCGCCGUUGAAACUGGCGUUCUUGAGUGGGCGAGAAGUAUGCGGAAUGCGUGGUGUAGCGGUGAAAUGCAUAGAUAUCACGCAGAACUCCGAUUGCGAAGGCAGCAUACCGGCGCCCAACUGACGCUGAAGCACGAAAGCGUGGGUAUCGAACAGGAUUAGAUACCCGAGUAGUC